CCCCACCAAAUCCAGACAGCGGCGAGCAAAGCCAAACCAAACUAGCUCAGCUCGACUGCUCCGCCCCGCUUCGUUGCCAACUUCCGCUCCAAGCGUCGCGGUCGCCAAGUCUCAUCGGCGAGCCCGGUGGCUGUGCUGCCGCCGCGAUGGAUUCGAGGCCCCGCGAGACUGACGCCCCCGGCGACCCGGCCAACGGCGCCGCCCCUCCGCAGGCCGCGGCGGUGACGUCCGCGACCGCGACCGGGGACGUCGAGAUCAUCAGGCCCCGCAACGACAAGCGUGGGUACCGCCGCGUCGUGCUCCCCAACUCGCUCGAGUGCCUGCUCAUCAGCGACCCCGACACCGAUAAGGCGGCGGCGUCAAUGAAUGUUUCGGUGGGGUACUUCUGCGACCCCGAUGGGCUGGAGGGGCUCGCACACUUCCUCGAGCAUAUGCUUUUCUAUGCCAGUGAAAAAUAUCCAGAAGAAGACAGUUACUCAAAGUACAUUGCAGAGCAUGGUGGUUCAACCAAUGCUUUCACAUCAUCUGAACACACAAACUUCUAUUUCGAUGUGAACAGUGAUAGCCUGCAUGAUGCUUUAGAUAGGUUUGCACAAUUUUUUAUCAAGCCAUUGAUGUCUCCAGAUGCUACACUUAGGGAAAUAAAAGCUGUUGACUCUGAAAAUCAGAAAAACCUCUUGUCAGAUCCUUGGCGAAUGAGUCAGCUUCAGAAGCAUCUUUGUGCAGAGAAUCAUCCUUAUCAUAAGUUCAGCACUGGAAAUUGGAAUACUCUUGAAGUUAAAGCAAAGGAGAAAGGAUUGGACACAAGGCUUGAGCUUAUUAAAUUUUAUGAUUCACACUACUCAGCCAACUUGAUGCAACUCGUUGUGUAUGGAAAAGAUAGUCUUGAUAACCUGCAGAACCUUGUUGAAAAUAAGUUCUGCGAUAUUAGAGAUGUUGGGAGGAAGCCAUUUUCAUUUCCUGGUCAUCCAUGUACACGUGAACAUCUCCAGAUCCUUGUCAAAGCAGUUCCCAUUAAACAAGGGCACACUUUGAGAAUCCUAUUUCCAAUCACUCCCAAUAUUCGGCGUUACAAAGAAGGCCCUUGCAAGUACAUUAGCCAUCUGAUUGGUCAUGAAGGAGAAGGAUCUCUUUUUUACAUACUUAAGAAGUUGGGAUGGGCUAUAAGUUUGGAAGCUGGCGAAGGGGAUUGGAGUCAUGAUUUUUCUUUCUUCUCCGUUGUUAUUCAGCUUACAGAUGUAGGCCAGGAACACAUGGAGGAUACUGUUGGACUAUUGUUCAGAUAUAUAAAGUUGCUGCAGACCUCUGGAACUCCUAAGUGGAUAUUUGAUGAGCUUCAAGCUAUCUGUGAGACAGGAUUUCACUAUCGAGACAAGAGCCCCCCUAUCAAUUAUGUUGUAAAUAUUUCUUCAAACAUGCAGAUUUUCCCACCAGAAGAUUGGUUGAUUGCAUCAUCUGUGCCAUCAAAGUUUUCACCAGAUGCUAUUCAGAAUAUUUUAAAUGAAUUGACUCCUGAGACUGUAAGAAUAUUCUGGGAAUCAAAAAAGUUUGAAGGGAAAACAAACUUAGCAGAGCCAUGGUAUGGUACAUCAUAUUCUGUUGAAGCUGUCCCUCCAUCAAUCAUACAGAAUUGGGUAGAUAAAGCCCCUAAGGAAGAUCUAGACCUGCCAAAACGUAACAUCUUUAUUCCAAAUGAUCUUUCAUUGAAAUGUGUAGAGGAAAAGGCAAGUUUUCCUGCCAUGCUGAGGAAGACAUCAUUUUCGAGACUCUGGUACAAGCCCGAUACAAUGUUUUUCACACCCAAGGCUUAUAUCAAGAUGGAUUUUCACUGUCCACUGUCCCAAAGCUCACCUGAGUCAGCAGUUCUUACUGAUGUAUUCACGAGGUUGCUUAUGGAUUAUUUGAAUGAUUAUGCUUAUGACGCGCAAGUUGCUGGCCUCUAUUAUGCUGUUAAGCCAAAUGACACUGGUUUUCAGGUAACUAUGGUUGGCUUCAAUGACAAAAUGAGAACCCUUUUGGAGACUGUUAUUGGCAAAAUUGCAGAAUUUGAAGUUAAGGCUGACCGUUUUUCUGUGAUAAAGGAAGCUAUGACAAAGGAGUAUGAAAAUUUCAAGUUUCGGCAGCCAUACCAGCAAGUCUUAUAUUAUUGUUCUCUGAUACUGGAGGACCAAGCAUGGCCAUGGGAUGAGGAAUUUUCUGCACUUUCCCAUCUCGAAGCUAGUGAUCUGGGAAUUUUUUUGCCCCGUUUGCUAUCAAAAACCUUCAUCGAGUGUUAUUUUGCAGGUAAUAUUGAAGCCAAUGAAGCAAAAAAUAUCGUUCACCAUCUUGAAGAUGUCUUAUUCAAUGCACCUAUUAGUGCUUGCAAGCCACUAUCCCCAUCACAGCAUCUUGCCAAGAGGAUUGUAAAGCUUGAAAAGGGUUUGAGAUACUAUUAUCCAGCAAUGUGCUCAAAUCACCAAGAUGAAAAUUCUGCUCUUCUGCACUAUAUUCAGACUCAUCAGGAUAAUGUCAAGCAAAAUGUUCUACUUCAACUACUUGCUCUUGUUGGCAAGCAGCCAGCUUUUCAUCAAUUGCGAUCAGUUGAGCAACUUGGCUACAUAGCGCUUCUUAGGCAAAGAAAUGAUUCAGGUGUUCGUGGGUUGCAAUUUAUAAUCCAGUCAACUGUUAAGGAUCCUGCCAAUCUGGAUGCCAGAGUUGUAAAUUUUCUCAACAUGUUUGAAGGCACUCUCUACAAUAUGUCUGAUACAGAGUUCAAGGAGAUCUGCAUGUGUUAUUAUUAUCAGGGGAAAGCUGGUCCAAUAACACUUCAAAGUAGAGAUACAAAAGUGGAAAAGAAGACCCAACAAAAACACAGAAAGUCACAAAAUCAAAUCAGUACACAAACCCCCCGAACAAAAAAGUAAUGUAAGUGCUCUUAUUGAUAUGAAACUGGAGAAAUACAAAAAUAUACGCGAGGAAUCAGCUUUCUUCUGGGGAGAGAUUUCUGAAGGAACCCUCAAAUUCGAUAGAAAACAAGAAGAGGUUGCUGCACUGAGGGAGCUCAAGAAGGAAGAGUUGAUAGACUUCUUCAAUGAUCAUGUGAAGGUUAAUGCACCACAAAAGAAGAUUCUUAGUAUACAAGUGUACGGUGGUCUCCAUUCUGCGGAGUACGAAACAAUAGUGCAAAAUGCUCCGCCGCCGCAGUCGUGUGAGAUAACUGAUAUUUACAGCUUCAGGAGAUCGAGGCCUUUAUAUGGAUCAUUCAGGGGAGGUGUUGGUCAGAUGAAGUUAUAGUUCAACAUUUUCUCAUCUUUCUGUAAAAUUCUGAAAAAAAGAAUAAUAUUUUUGUUCAACUGCUUUUGUUGGACUAGGCUGGCCUGCAUCUACGUUCAUAGUUCAUUUAAUCGAGGACACCAUAUUAGGGCAUUUACCUGUGUUUCUUUUUUCACUAUGAUCAUUAAAAUAUUAUGAUAUUAUGAGAUUUCGCAUUGCUUGGUAAAGACAAA